AUCAGCAUGUUUGUAGAUGCCCAUAGGAAAUAGGAGUCAGUCUCUUUCUUUGUGUUUUUGGAAAUAUUCGAGUGUCACUGAAACAAGUUUGAAUUGGUGGUGGCUAUGACAUGUUUGCAACAAUACCUGAGAGAGUUUAUUUGUCUUAAUGCAUCUAAAGCAAAUGAAUGACCAAAAACACAUCCCUUAAUAGAUUGGACUUGUCAAAAGACUUGACUUUGCUGCUUUGGUAUUGGAUUUGGGAAUGCACAUCAGCUUUGCUCUCUAGUCCAUGUUGAGCCACUAUGCCUGUGAUUAUGUGUAG